rnacentral:rRNA from 1 species
UCCGUUGUAGCAAUACGAUGGAAAGUCUAGUGGCGAACGGGUGCUUAACACGUGGGCAACCUGCCAUGAAGUGGGGGAUAGCUCGCCGAAAGGCGAAUUAAUACCGCAUGUGAUUAGAGAGGACAUCCUUUCGAAAUUAAAGUCGGGGCAACCUGACGCUUCUUGUGGGGCCCGCGGCCUAUCAGCUAGUUGGUGAGGUAACGGCUCACCAAGGCUUUGACGGGUAGCUGGUCUGAGAGGACGACCAGCCACACUGGGACUGAGACACGGCCCAGACACCUACGGGUGGCAGCAGUCGAGAAUUUUUGACAAUGGGGGAAACCCUGAUCGAGCGACGCCGCGUGGAGGAUGAAGGUCUUCGGAUUGUAAACUCCUGUCAUUGGGGAACAAUGCACAGAUAUUAACUAUAUUUGUGUUGAUAGUACCCGAGGAGGAAGAGACGGCUAACUCUGUGCCAGCAGCCGCGGUAAUACAGAGGUCUCAAGCGUUGUUCGGAUUCAUUGGGCGUAAAGGGUGCGUAGGCGGCGCGGUAAGUCGGGUGUGAAAUCUCGGAGCUUAACUCCGAAACUGCAUUCGAUACUGCCGUGCUUGAGGACUGGAGAGGAGACUGGAAUUCUCGGUGUAGCA